rnacentral:tRNA from 1 species
GGAGAUAUGGCUCAGUGGUUAAGAGCACUGACUGCUCUUCCAGAGGUCCUGAGUUCAAAUCCCAGCAACCAUA